AUCCAGAUGAUGAGUCGCGAAUAGGAAGAAACGUGUGUCCUGGAU
rnacentral:hammerhead_ribozyme from 1 species